UUUAAAGGCCUAGUAUAUUUGGAUGGAAUAUUGACUUGAGAAAAUGGCUAAUUUGAUGAAUUUCGGGUUAAGAGACUAAAUUGCAAGAAUUGUAAAAGUUUUGGGUAAUUGUGUAAAUUCAAAAAAUAAAAGGUUAUUAAUUGUAAAAUGGAUUGGAAUGUGAAAUGUAAGCUGAUAAUUGAUGAAUUCUAUAUUUUAGAUUAAGAUCUGAUAGAUACUUGUGGAAAAAGAAAGAUAGUGG
rnacentral:lncRNA from 1 species